rnacentral:rRNA from 1 species
AGUGAACGCUGGCGGCAGGCCUAACACAUGCAAGUCGAGCGGCAGCGCGUCCGACCACCCUCGGGUGGUCGGAUGGCGGCGAGCGGCGGACGGGUGAGGAAUGCAUCGGAAUCUGCCUCGUUGUGGGGGAUAACGUAGGGAAACUUACGCUAAUACCGCAUACGACCUACGGGUGAAAGUGGGGGACCUUCGGGCCUCACGCGAUGAGAUGAGCCGAUGCCGGAUUAGCUAGUUGGCGGGGUAAAGGCCCACCAAGGCGACGAUCCGUAGCUGGUCUGAGAGGAUGAUCAGCCACACUGGAACUGAGACACGGUCCAGACUCCUACGGGAGGCAGCAGUGGGGAAUAUUGGACAAUGGGGGCAACCCUGAUCCAGCCAUGCCGCGUGUGUGAAGAAGGCCUCGGUUGUAAGCACUUUGUCCGGAACGAAAUAGGCUCUGGUUAAUACCUGGGUCGGAGUGACGGUACCGGA